rnacentral:lncRNA from 1 species
CACAUUUUUCUGGGUCAGGAUGUCCAACAGAGAUCAGAAUGGCAAUUCUCCUACACGUGGUUUUGACUGAGAUCUCUCAGAGGUAUUCAGCUGCCAGUUGUUCUGGCCUGAAGGACUAAAUACAGCGUCCCUUGAAUCCCUGUAACCUUGGAUGGGAUGGAUGAGAGGCUGGGAUUAGCUCAAAUUUCAUGCUGCUUGUUUUGUUUGGGGACUGUCCUGCCAGGUGGUUGGAAGCCCUCUAGGAGAACUAGCUUCAGAAGCAUUCAUAGAAGCCACUAAUUCAAGAUAUGAGUGCAAGAUGUUUAUGUGAAAAUCCCAGGACCGAGAAGGAAAAACCACCCACAAAGGAUGGCUACCAAGCAUCCUAACUAUUGAGAACACCCAAAGCUACAUCGUGCUGGAGAGAACACAUCAGACAGUGGAGAUCCUAUGACUUAGAGUUAUCUCAGAAAGGAAGACGAGGUGCUGAAGUAUUGAUACACAAAUUCCCAUCGUCCAAAGGAUGAACUCUGCUCCUCUUGAAACAAUUUACUCAUAGAGUUAGAAAUCUGCCUUUCAUUACUUCUCCCUCAUAGGCCCUGUUCCUUUGGAACCAUGCAUGGUACAUUCAAUCCCUUUGGACAUUACAGAUUUACAGCUGCUGGAAGAUAAAUGGUGAUACAUUGGAGCUGGCUCAUGUGGACAGUGAUGUGAUGGAUAAUUGCCCAUUUCUUUCCAACUCGGUGGUCAGUGAUGUCAUAUGAGUUGUUUGAAAUUGAUCAUGACACAUUUUCACUUCAGAAAACAGAGAACAAACAAAACAAAAAUCCAAAAAACAAAUCAGAACUUCUUCUGAGAGCCAGUUGUUAGACUUUUAUUAACCACCCCUUGUUGGCUACCACUGAAAAGCUGAACUCUGAAGAAGGCAAUUAUCUGCUGACCCAGAGUUCUAAAGACAAGAUAAGGGAGUUCUGCAUAAACCUUGUUAUUCUACAAAUGUGCCUUAGAGGGAUGCACCUGUGCUAAUAGUUUCCUUUGUUAUUCAUUAAGAGGUAGUUUUGUCAUUGCCUAAGACUGUUCCUG